GUAGCCGCGGGAAUACGUAGGGUGCAAGCGUUAAUCGGAAUUACUGGGCGUAAAGCGUGCGCAGGCGGUUUUGUAAGACAGAGGUGAAAUCCCCGGGCUCAACCUGGGAACUGCCUUUGUGACUGCAAGGCUAGAGUACGGCAGAGGGGGAUGGAAUUCCGCGUGUAGCAGUGAAAUGCGUAGAUAUGCGGAGGAACACCGAUGGCGAAGGCAAUCCCCUGGGCCUGUACUGACGCUCAUGCACGAAAGCGUGGGGAGCAAACAGGAUUAGAUACCCGAGUAGUCCCUGUCUCUUAUACAC
rnacentral:rRNA from 1 species